CAGCAGCCGCGGGAAUACGAAGGGUGCAAGCGUUAAUCGGAAUUACUGGGCGUAAAGCGUGCGUAGGCGGUGAGUUAAGUCUGCUGUGAAAUCCCCGGGCUCAACCUGGGAAUGGCAGUGGAUACUGUCUCGCUAAAGUGUGUCAGAGGAUGGUGGAAUUCCCGGUGUAGCGGUGAAAUGCGUAGAGAUCGGGAGGAACAUCAGUGGCGAAGGCGGCCAUCUGGGACAACACUGACGCUGAGGCACGAAAGCGUGGGGAGCAAACAGGAUUAGAUACCCCCGUAGUCCCUGUCUCUUUACC
rnacentral:rRNA from 1 species